GAUGAACGCUGGCGGUGGGCCUAACACAUGCAAGUCGAGCGAACAGACGGUGAGCGCGCUCCUCUGCGGGUAGCGGGGGGCGGGCGAGUGAGACGUGCAUAAGCUUCUAAUUAUUCUUGGGGGAUAUCGGGGAGACAGUGCUGAUAACACAGCAUACAUUCUACGGCAGGGAUCAAGAGUGAUUGACGGUUUUGGUGUUAGAUUUAGAUGAAUCCGCGCUGGAUUAGCUAGUUGGUAAGGUAACGGCCAACCAAGGCGACGAUGCGUAGCUGAGCUGAGAGGGUGAUCGGCCACACUGGAACUGAGACACGGUCCAGACUCCUACGGGAGGCAGCAGUAGGGAAUCUUCGGCAAUGGGCGCAAGCCUGACGCAGCCACACCGCGUGAGUGAUGAAGGUCUUCGGGUCGUAAAGCCCUGUUGUUAGGGAAGAAAAACUGUGUAAGUAACUAUGGACGUUUUGACGGUACCUAGUCAGUAAGCCACGGCUAACUACGUG
rnacentral:rRNA from 1 species